GUGGCGAGUGCAUCGGCUCAUGACAAGAGCACGUAGUCGAAUGCCAGAAGAAACAAAUGCAGUGGUUUUCAAGCACAUGUGAAGGCGCACGAGGAAGUCGGGCGUGCGGUUCUGGUUUGCAGUGCGUGACAGUCGAUAACCCCACCUCGCUCAAGGUGCUUUUCGGAGCCUUACUGAUUCCGUGGCCCAGCGGAGGAUUCUUCGAUGUAGCUGGGAACCGUUUCUACGUGGCAAACGGACGCGUGCUUCGCCACACAGUCAUCGCCUUUCCCGGAUAUCAGCGAACAGCCCGCCACUUUGGAUACAUUCAUUCAUCUGGCCUGGCAACCGCCUAUGUCAACUGAUACAAGGGGGGCGGAGGCACUAAAGCUGUGCUUCGACGGACUGCUGCCGGGGCGCGACAUCGCUGUCGACAUGAGCUUACCUCAUCUUUUUGCACAGGUAGACUUUCAGGUAGGAUACUUCAGAAAGAUGUCCAGGCAGAUGUCGGGAACAAGGCCAUUGUAAUUGAUCCAGCUCCGUUGCUCAAAACUUAUUAAUGUCGUCGGCCUGCUGGGAACAUCGAUUAUUUCUUUCCUUCAGCCUUGAAAAAUUAAAACCACAGCACCUACCACCACAGGAAAAGGUUCUCUGGAUAUUUGUCGAUCAGG